UACGGGGGGGGCAAGCGUUGUUCGGAAUUACUGGGCGUAAAGGGCUCGUAGGUGGCCAACUAAGUCAGACGUGAAAUCCCUCAGCUUAACUGGGGAACUGCGUCUGAUACUGGAUGGCUUGAGUUUGGGAGAGGGACGCGGAAUUCCAGGUGUAGCGGUGAAAUGCGUAGAUAUUGGGAGGAACACCAGUGGCGAAGGCGGCUCACUGGUCCGGUACUGACGCUGAGGUGCGAAAGCGUGGGGAGCAAACAGG
rnacentral:rRNA from 1 species